GAUGAACGCUGGCGGCGUGCCUAAUACAUGCAAGUCGAGCGAACAGAUGAGGAGCUUGCUCCUCUGACGUUAGCGGCGGACGGGUGAGUAACACGUGGAUAACCUACCUAUAAGACUGGGAUAACUUCGGGAAACCGGAGCUAAUACCGGAUAAUAUAUUGAACCGCAUGGUUCAAUAGUGAAAGACGGUUUUGCUGUCACUUAUAGAUGGAUCCGCGCCGCAUUAGCUAGUUGGUAAGGUAACGGCUUACCAAGGCAACGAUGCGUAGCCGACCUGAGAGGGUGAUCGGCCACACUGGAACUGAGACACGGUCCAGACUCCUACGGGAGGCAGCAGUAGGGAAUCUUCCGCAACGGGCGAAAGCCUGACGGAGCAACGCCGCGUGAGUGAUGAAGGUCUUCGGAUCGUAAAACUCUGUUAUUAGGGGAGAACAAAUGUGUAAGUAACUAUGCACGUCUUGACGGUACCUAAUCAGAAAGCCACGGCUAACUACGUG
rnacentral:rRNA from 1 species